rnacentral:rRNA from 1 species
AUGAAAAAUAAUCCAUAUUUCCAUGACCGGUUUAUGUCAUGUGUUUGGGGAUCAGAGACACCGAGUGAGUUUGAGUCACAAUGGUGUUCAAUAAUCUCUGACUUUGGGCUAGUAGAUAAUAAAUGGUUGCAGGAGAAGUACGAGUCGCUCACGUCAUGGAUUCCUGCAUAUUUUACAGAGACCCCACUUGGUGGAAUCUUGCGUACUAUAUCAAGAUCUGAGAGUGAGAAUGCAUUCUUCAGACACUUCGCCAACCAAAAUCUCGCGUUGAUUGAGUUUUGGGUCAGGUUUGAAACAUCUUUAGAGGAACAACGACAAAAAGAAUUGCAAGAAGACAAUGCCAGCCUUCAUACAAUGCAUGUGCUUGAGACUUGUUGGAGUAUCGAGAGUCAUGGUCGAGAUGUGUAUACUCAUGAGGUUUUUGCUGAAUUUCAAUGUCAGGUGGUGGCUGCAAGGGAUUAUUGUCAUUUCAAAUCAGUUGUGGAGGUUGGUGAGGUCUGA